rnacentral:rRNA from 1 species
CCCUUAGAUGUUCUGGGCCACACGCGCGCUACAAUGAUGAAUUCAACGAGUUUAUAACCUUGGUUGAAAAGCCUGGGUAAUCUUUUGAACUUUCGUCGUGAUGGGGCUAGACCCUUGCAAUUAUUGGUCUCCAACGAGGAAUUCCUAGUAAACGCAAGUCAUCAGCUUGCAUUGAUUACGUCCCUGCCCUUUGUACACACCGCCCGUCGCACCUACCGAUUGAAUGGUCCGGUGAAAUCUUCGGAUUGAGACUUUGUUUUCUUCACGGAAAACGCUGUUUUAAAAAGUUGAUUAAACCUUACCAUUUAGAGGAAGGUGAAGUCGUAACA